AUGCUGUCCUGUCCCUUUUUAGGGGGAAAACUUGAGCUCUGCAUUGGAAGGUCAAGUUCCUGGUGGAGAACAUGGCAGGAGGAGGAGGAAGCUCAGCUCAGUGGAUGCAGAGUGGGAGGCUUCCUAUUACUGAUGUGUAAAGUGGGCUAAGCAACUAUUGGUGAAGAUCAAAGAAAGGGAGGAGGAGGGCUGACAAGAAACAGUGUAUGAGAGAUGCCUGCACAGCUUUAAUAAAUAAAAAGGGGUUAAGGCUUCA
rnacentral:lncRNA from 1 species